rnacentral:rRNA from 1 species
UACAGAGGUCUCAAGCGUUGUUCGGAUUCAUUGGGCGUAAAGGGUGCGUAGGCGGCGCGGUAAGUCGGGUGUGAAAUCUUGGAGCUUAACUCCGAAACUGCAUUUGAUACUGCGGUGCUUGAGGACUGGAGAGGAGACUGGAAUUUAUGGUGUAGCAGUGAAAUGCGUAGAUAUCAUAAGGAAGACCAGUGGCGAAGGCGGGUCUCUGGACAGUUCCUGACACUGAGACACGAAGGCCAGGGGAGCAAACGGG